rnacentral:lncRNA from 1 species
CUAUAUUUUACUUGAUUUUUUUUUUCUCUCUUUUUCUCCUUAAUUGGUUCCACGUGUUUUAGGCAUUGCGUGUGAAAUUAUUCCAAGUAUUUGAUGUAAAAUGCCGUUUGGAUGUCAAAUGUUGUAAGUCUUGAAGCCUUUUCUUUUGUUCCAAUCCGUCCAAAAGUGCUGGUUUUUGAAAAGAUGAGUCCGCAAUUCUCUAUGAUGGUUAAUUAAAAUAUUUAUGAAUAUUGUACAUUCUUUAAUUAAUUAAUCUUAUUCUUUGGCCAAAAUCCAAGAAAGAUAAGGGUCAGCCAUGGGAACUUUCCUUGAAAUAGGCUGACUGAAUUUAGAUGCAAGAUGAUUAAUCUAAAUCAUAAUAUGGUUUUAGUUUAGACAAUGCAAUCAGCAGCAUGAUUUAAUAAAAUGUUAUGAAAUGUGUCAACUUAUUGGGUUUAUGACCUUUUAUUUAUUUGAGUACCAUAAAUGGUGCUUGAUUUUGGGAUAAGUUCAAGUUUUCCAAGAACAAUGACCCACCAGUCAUAUGUACAUCAUUAUUAGAUAAUGGCUGUAUUUUUUUUUUUCAAGUUUUAAUUAAUUAGUUCAUUCAUAUGUCCUAUUUAGUCGAAUUUAUAGUGUCACCACACCCCCCAAAAAAAAAAAAACCAAAAACAAAAACAAUAGAAAUUUCAUCUUGAUUAAACAUGGCUGUAACAUGAUUUCAUUUGCAUUAUCAGCUCUUAUGCAUAUUCCUAACAGGAACUCAAGAAUAUUUGAGAGAUUGAUAUUUUUAUUUUUUUUUCUUUUAAGAAUAAUCAUGAAAAUUUUAGCGUUUUAUCAAAAUCUGUGUUGACUUUUUUUUUUUUUGGGUCUGUUUAGUGGAGCAAAGAACAAGGGAAAGCUUUAAAAAGUGUAUCAAUUAUUAAUAAUUCAGUUAAGCUUCUUAGAGAAGUUAUCAAAAAGGUAAAGAACUUCUAUUUGGAUUUUAAGACCCACAGUGUUGAUUGCUCAAGAAAAAGAAGAUUUCGGUGGAUUUACUGUACAAAAUCUUAAGAAAAAAAAAUGGAAAUGCUACCUUUUGAAAUGGUACGUAAUAUGUCAACCUAGAGAAUUGUAAGUCUUAUAAUUAUAAUAGUUUCUAUUUGAGGCACAUUUUCUUAUUGUUUUUCUUAAUGUACAAAAGAAAAUUAUUACUACUAUUGUAGUUAGAGAAACUAAUUAGACCAAUGGUGCCAAAAAUAUUAUUUGUUAUUUGAGUAAAUAAUAUUCUCAUGAACUCAAGAUUCAACCCCUCCACCCAAUUUAUUAAAAACAAAAUUUACUAUUAAAAGAAACAACAAUCACUUCCAAAUAAUGGAAUCUACAUCUAUUUUUAUUGUACGGGGAUCCAUACUUUUAUUUAUUUAGUGAACUUAUGAAAAAUUAUAUUUUUUUGAAUAAAAAAAAGAAUAUAUUUUUUUAUCACUUAAAUCAAUCAUUCAUCAAUAGAUCUAGACUCACUUUGAAAUAUUAAUCACUUUAAUCUAAAGAUUUUAAACUCACUUUCAUAGUUUUGUUCCAAAAAAAUAUU